rnacentral:rRNA from 1 species
GAUGAACGCUAGCGGCAGGCCUAAUACAUGCAAGUCGGACGGGAUUCAGGAGCUUGCUUCUGAUGAGAGUGGCGCACGGGUGCGUAGCACGUAUGUAACCUACCUUUAUCAGGGGGAUAGCCUCUCGAAAGAGAGAUUAAGCCCGCAUAAAAUCACAGCACAGCAUUGUGUAAUGAUCAAAUAUUUAUAGGAUAAAGAUGGGCAUGCGGAACAUUAGCUAGAUGGCGGGGUAACGGCCCACCAUGGCGACGAUGUUUAGGGGAUCUGAGAGGAUGGCCCCCCACACUGGUACUGAGACACGGACCAGACUCCUACGGGAGGCAGCAGUAAGGAAUAUUGGUCAAUGGGCGGAAGCCUGAACCAGCCAUGCCGCGUGCAGGAAGACGGCCCUACGGGUUGUAAACUGCUUUUAUACGGGAAUAAACCCAGAUACGUGUAUCUGGCUGAAUGUACUGGAAGAAUAAGGAUCGGCUAACUCCGUG